GCAUCACAGAAACGCAAGGCUAGUAUUUAUCUUUUAUAGAUUUUUGAGGGAAAAAAACAAAUAAACACGCUUAAAAACUAAAUUACGGCAAACACACACGCCGCUUCGCCCUUUGCACCCCCAACAACUGGGCCAGAAAAAAAAAAAAAAAAAAAACCCUUCUAUAGAUCCCAGUUAUGCUUCUUCUCCAUUCUUACCCACUAUGUAGCACUUCUGCCUGUGUUCUUUUUAACUUACAGGGUAACCGAUUUUAUCCGUCCACAGAUUCUCUUUACAAAAUUGAAUUCAGACCAUUUAGGAGUAAGGGUCGAAAUGAGGUUCCUCAUCUCUUGCCAAUUAAACUAUGAUUGUAUUCAUGUUUGUAAUUCCACUGUCAUGCGAUUUCAACUUUAGGUACAUUGUGCAGAUUUACAAUUGCUAUUUCAAUUAAUAAAGCUCAUCGCCGUCUAUGAACUAACUUUGUUCAGACUUGUAAUCUCCCCCGUGAUAGGUCUGUACUUUAGAGUUUAUUAGGCAUUUUUUUCCCUCUUUUGUAGUUCGAAAGUAAAUAGCCUGUUAUACAGAUCUCCAUUUCCUACUCGUAAUAUUUGCUCUUGCUGUUUUCCGACUACAUCUAUGACUCUAAUAUAUAUAAAUAGUGAACUUUUGGUAUGCUUUGAAUUUUGACAACUAUUCGGACUGAAGUCUGAACUUCUCACUUUCCACCUCUGACCAUUUUUUUUCCUCUUUUGCACCUACACCUAUGCAGGAGAAGCAAAUCUGUAGCUGUACACUCCAGUCCCAUUGUCAUCAUCUGCUCUGCGAUAAAUUUGAGUAUAGGUUUUCCCCAACAAUUCUAUAUGUGUUCUUUUAAAUAACAUUUUUGUGGUGGAAAAGAUGUGCCGUUUCUUGAUUAAUUGUGUUAAACAAUCAGCCAAUUUCCCUAUGACUCCAAAGAAGACGAAUUAGAAUUUCAAAAAACACAAAGAAGAAGCAAAUCCGUAGGAGUACACUCCACGGCCAUAGUCCUUUAUUUACUUCGUUACCGGGUGAGUACUCUGUCUCUUACUUACAUUGAAAAGUUGAAAUUUAUUCCCAACACAUGAAUAAUUUCUUUCAAUUAAUUAUACUUUCUUUUCUUAAUCAAUAUGUGUAAGUUUUCCCAAUAUAUUUUGGACUCCAGCUGUGCGAUUUGCGGAUGUAAAAUACUUGAAAGCCAUUUAUGCAUGGCAACUCAGAUUACAAUGUGUUACAUGCAACACAUUUAUAAUAACUGCAGUUAUAGCUGUAGACAAAUCAAAUUGAUUGGACUUAAUCCACUAGGAGUUUAUUGUAAUACGGGAUGGAGGAGAGUCUUCUAAUAUCCUUUAACCUUUCCGUUUUCAGUUUCAAUACAUGGAGUUUCCAGUUAUGUGACAGAGAAGAAGCGCACGACCAGUCUGUAUCUCAGUAUUUAAGUGAUGUUUACUUACAAUUUCUCUCUGCAUUAACUGUUUUAGUGUCCAUAUAUAUCAAACACCCGUUAACUUGAAAUUUAUUCGGCAGUUCAGGGUAUUUGGUGUUGCCGAAAACUGAAUUAUAAAUAUAAGAGUCACUCCAAGUCAAUUAUUAUGUCAUCACUUGCCUUCAAUGUCAUUCUUUGCUUAUAUGCUUUACUUGUGGCAUAAAUAGUUUGGAUUGGACUUUUUCCAUUAUCUCAAUUUACCAUGAAUGCUAGCAUUGCAGGAAUAAAGUUCACCUAGAUAAGGUAUGACCACCCGAGAUUUUCAUUCCAGAUGGUCAAGCUAAUUAGUGCAAGGAUAGUUCAUUGUCAGUUCUAUGUAGACAUACAAAUCUCAGCAACUGGUUCAAUUUUUCUCAAGAUAAGCAAAAGGCUGCAAGGUAUUGGUAAUUGCCUUUUUGGCGAGUAUAGACUGGUUAGUCUUGUGUUGAUGGGAGAAUUUAGUAAGGUUGGAGUUGGGAUGUGUCACCUUUCACAGAAAGAUAUACAAGACAAGGAGCAGGAUAAGCUAAUUGCUCCGGAACAAUAAUUCCAUUCUGCAAGGGAAGGGAUUAUAACCAGGCUGUACAUCAAGAUAACUUGUUAGAUUUGUUUACAGUUAAGUGAAUUCUUCCGCUGUUGUAAGUGGAAUAACCGAAACCGAAAUAGUGUCGAAUAAGUUUUGAAGUAGGUGCUAUAACAUAUUGAUGUUUUGUUUGUAGCGUAGAUGGUAAUUGUUUGGGCCAGUAGGUGGUCUUGGUAUGAGGAAGCAUUUGAUAUGAUGCGUAAUUUUGUAGUUUGAGAAUUAUUUCAGAUAUUACUACCUAUUAUUUCAAUUAUACAUACAGCUGCCCUCUACUAAAUAGUUCAA